rnacentral:rRNA from 1 species
CAGUCGCCACGGGAAUACGUAGGUGGCAAGCGUUGUCCGGAAUUAUUGGGCGUAAAGGGCUCGCAGGCGGUUUCUUAAGUCUGAUGUGAAAGCCCCCGGCUCAACCGGGGAGGGUCAUUGGAAACUGGGAAACUUGAGUGCAGAAGAGGAGAGUGGAAUUCCUCGUGUAGCGGUGAAAUGCGUAGAGAUGUGGAGGAACACCAGUGGCGAAGGCGACUCUCUGGUCUGUAACUGACGCUGAGGAGCGAAAGCGUGGGGAGCGAACAGGAUUAGAGACCCCGGUAGUCCCUGUCUCUUAUAU